ACGUACGCUGGCGGCACGCCUAACACAUGCAAGUCGAACGAAGUAGCAAUACUUAGUGGCAGACGGGUGAGUAACAUGUAGGUAUCUGCCCUUUGGCCUGGAAUAACACGAGGAAACUUGUGCUAAUACCGGAUAAGUCUUUACGGAGAAAGCUUUAUGCACCAUUGGAUGAGCCUGCACUUGAUUAGUUUGUUGGUAGGGUAAUGGCCUACCAAGACUGUGAUCAAGUAGCUGAUUUGAGAGGGAGACCCCCCAACUGGUACUGAGACACGGACCAGACUCCUACGGGAGGCAGCAGUGAGGAAUAUUGG
rnacentral:rRNA from 1 species